GUGACAUACACUCGUAUAUAGAAAAUGAAGUUUUUCGCAAUGAUGCUAGCCAUCAUGGCUGUUGCACUCGCAGUUGUGGGAGCCAUGGGUAUCCCAAAAGCUGGUAUAAGGGAUCACGACCAUGAUCAUGCUGGCUGCAACUGGUCCGGCGGUCCGCCACCGCCGCCACCGGCACCGACCAAUAGCACCGGCUAGUUGUCUUCAACAGCUAUUCGGCAACAGUGGAUUAACAUGAAAUCGGCUUGUCAAAUGUAGUAAUAAACUUGUGCAUAUUGAA